GCGCAACUGAUAUCUUCACUUACAAAACAAACACAUGACGCGUUGCAUAACAAAGUGGUUUAUGAAACACAUUCUGCCGUCUCCCUUUAUUGAAGCCAUUCAAGUGCAGUGAAAAAAUAUCGUUCGUCCAAUCAGCCUCGAAGCCUAAGGAUUCUAAGAUAACUCACCCCCAAACGGCGAGCCAGACGCAAACGCAAGAGACACCACAAAGAAGUACAGCCCCAAAGCUUUAGUACGCAUGCGCGGAAUAGUCAUCUGAUAGACGAUCAUGAAGACUGCUGUUGCGUAGCCGCCAUUUGCAAAACCAUUUACGGUAAAGUACCCUAUGAGUCCCGCAAAUGAAUCGAGCUGCGGGACGAGAAGUGUCGAAACACCAGCGACCAUCGUCGAGAGAAAGUACAUGUACAGCGGGCUUACGCAGGGGAGGUCACAAAGCCGACCAAUCAGAACACGUCCAACUGUUGAGCCGACCCCGAAGUCGACAUAAAGGAGAGCAGACCGGUGCGAAGGAAUACCAACGUCCUGUGAGUAACGACCCUACAAGGAAAGGAAAAAGUCUGUUAUAGUAUUUUUAUAUUUGAUUUCUAAUGAACGCUUGGUCUAUUUUCACUGUGACUCUCUUGAAUGUCACCCUUCUCUAUAUGGGUAUACUGUGACUCUCUUGAAUGUCACGCUUAUCUACUGUGACUCUCUUAAAUGUCACGCUUCUGUAUAUAGGUAUACUGUGACUCUCUUGAAAGUAACUUUUCUAUAUGGGUAUUAUACUAUGACUCUUUUGAAUGUCACGCUUCUAUAUAUAGGUAUACUGUGACUCUCUUGAAAGUCACGCUUCUAUAUAUAGGUAUACUGUGACUCUCUUGAAAGUCACUUUUCUAUAUGGGUAUUAUACUAUGACUCUUUUGAAUGUCACGCUUCUAUAUAUAGGUAUAAUGUGACUCUCUUGAAAGUCACGCUACUUACCAAAUGUAGUAGUGGGAUUGUCCCGCCAAAAUCCAUAACAAAACCAGUUGCACAGCAGGCUAGUAGUUUUCUGUUACGAGGCCGAUUGAGAGGGCAAGUGCUAAGGAUCCGACCCAAGCUAAAAAAGAAAGCAGAUUUGAAAAACUUGUUAGUUGAAUUACUCCAAAUGCCAUAAAUAUAGACUUUCUCAAUGUCCGUUGUUCGGCUUGGAAGAAAUUUGCUUUUGCUGUGCAAGUCGUCCUCUCCGCGCGCCCGUUUCUGUUUGCUUGGCUGAGGAAAAUACCCAUUAGAUUGCGCGCUCUUUUUAGAGAAAAUCAAAGAGGACGUCUUGGGGCAAGUCUAGCCAUAUUAUUACAAGACAUCAACGACAAUUGUUUUGAAAUCGGUGAUUAAUAACACGUUUCUAGGCAUUCAAGUUCGAGUAGUAGAAUUGUUUCAAAGUCGAGAAAACAUUUUCGUUUCCUCCCUCUUUUCGUUUCUGUUUUUCAACUUACUCUAAGUUCCAGAGUGGGAAUUAAUUUCGACGAUAGAGCUUCCAUAAAGGAAAAAGGCUUUCUCCGAAAAAAUAUUGCCAUCCCCGCACCUCCCAAAAAUAAGGUUUUGUUAACUGACCUGUGGUACCCUUCCCAUAUCCGAAUUCAUCCAGAAGUACAGGGAAGAGAAUACCAAACGUAAGUAUGCAACCCCAAAUCAGCAAAUUCGCUAACGUCGCGAGCAGACAAAUGACCCACGCCAUAGCACCAUAGUCUUUAGUAUAGAUCCGACAUCUUUGUUGUUAACUGCCACUGGGUCGAUGCCAUCCAUUCCCUCACUUCAACUCGUCUGUGAACAAAAUACUCCACAUUUAAUUCUGCCCGAAUACAAUGUUCCCCCCUUUUUUUCUUGGCGCUAUAAGCAAGAGUGGGGGACAUUGGUAGCAAAUAAAAUAAGAAAAACACUGUUUGCGGAGUGGGGGGUUGCACUAAAAAAGAAACAUUAUCUGAAUUGUUUUAUGAUACAUGAUCGUAUAGUUGUUAGCGUUAUAUUAUUUGAAGUAUUAGCUGCUUUAUGUUAUAGGGCUAGAGGAGGGUAAACCGAAAAAAACGAAUCAGCCCGCUCAAAACUCUGGCUACGGGCUGAUUAUAUGUACUAUUAUUAUACAUUUAGACUUGCCCCAAGUCGCCCUCUUUGAUUUUCCCUGACAGGAGCGCGCGGGUGGGUUUUUUCCUCGAAAGUCAGUAAAAAAAAUAAGGCGCGAGGAGAGGACGACUAGUCCGUUGUACAGCAGAAGCCAAUUUUCUAAAAAAGAUGGUCAGCGGACUUUGAGAAAGUCUAUUAUACAUUGUACUUACUAUGCUGAUUCUGAUUGGCGUUUUAUUUAGAUGAUCACGCAAUCUGAGUGUCUUGAGUGGUCUACGCGCGCGAUGCAUGUUGGGCUAGGGCGCGAAGAUUCGAUUGUGAGAAAUGGCGGCCUUUGUGCAUAUCGGGAAUGAAAUUUUGUUUUCGAGAAAGUGUUUUUUACUGAAUCAAUGUAUAAUUGCCUGCUUGUGCCUGAUUACAAUUGUCACGACAUUGAUUAUUCCGGAUAUCACUUAAACCUCAUCCAAUAAUUGUUUGUACUAUUAAACCAAAUUCCAUGGCCCAUUUUUAUUUGCUAUUCUUAUAAGUGCGCUGUCAUGGAUAUGAAAAAAGCACAAAGACUCGUAAACCACAAACUAAGAUCCUGUCCACACGUUUUUCUUCGUUUUACACCUCCCACCCACACGUAUCUAGCGUAUUCGGGUACCAUAAACAGAGGUUUUCGAGUACGGCCUCCAGAGUGGAAGUUUUUGAAACUCAGUGGCAACAUGCCCGACUGUCGGGAAAGUCCUCAAUGGACUAAAUAAAUGCCUGACAGUUUUCAAUUUAUUCAAAUAACCCCAGUAAAUAGUCGAACCACUGAGUUCAAAUUGUUCUAUAUUUGUUAAAAAAGGGCAACAAUCUGAGUUGGGCUUCGUCGUUCAAUACCGACAGAAAAGCUGAAUUCAGAUUCGCAUGCCCUUUCCCAACAAAUAUAGAAUACUUUGAACUCAUUGGUCGGCAAUUUACCGUGAUAUUUUCGUAAAUUAAUAACUGCUGACAUGCCGCAUGUUGUAGAAAAUCCCUAAAGCCCCGUGCAAACUGCGCCAGCAUGUUGUAGAAAAUCCCUAAAGCCCCGUGCAACCUGCGCCAGCAUGUUGUAGAAAAUCCCUAAAGCCCCGUGCAAACUGCGCCAGCAUGUUGUAGAAAAUCCCUAAAGCCCCGUGCAAACUGCGCCAGCAUGUUGUAGAAAAUCCCUAAAGCCCAGUGCAAACUGCGCCAGCAUGUUGUAGAAAAUCCCUAAAGCCCCGUGCAAACUGCGCCAGCAUGUUGUAGAAAAUACCUAAAGUCCCGUGCAAACUGCGCCAGCAUGUUGUAGAAAAUCCCUAAAGCCCCGUGCAAACUGCGCCAGCAUGUUGUAUAAAAUCCCUAAAGCCCCGUUCAAACUGCGCCAGCAUGUUGUAUAAAAUCCCUAAAGCCCCGUUCAAACUGCGCCAGCACGUCUGGCGAGAGGUUGGCCCAGUAAUUCUGGCGCAGUUUGAACACCGUGUUGGGCAGUGCUGGCGGGAGCUGGCGAAAUUUUGAUUGAGUUCAAACUUUUGGCCAGCACUUCGCCAACAUCUUCUCGCUUUGGUCUAUCGAGCAUAUCACAGGUUUGCUGGCGCAGUUUGCACACCAACCCAUCAAUGCUGGGCUCAUUUGAAUCGUUUCCAUAGCGAAAAUAGCUAUCGUCCAAAUAAUAUGCUGUCAUUUCAAAGAGAAUAAAAGCUACCGCAUCUA